rnacentral:tRNA from 1 species
GGGUGGGUUAGCUCAGUGGUUAGAGCUUAGCUGUUGAGACCGGAAGGGCCCGGGUUCGAGUCUCGCCAGAGGCA